UUGCUACCUGAUUCAGCGGCGGACGGGUGAGUAAUGCCUAGGAAUCUGCCUGGUAGUGGGGGACAACGUUUCGAAAGGAACGCUAAUACCGCAUACGUCCUACGGGAGAAAGUGGGGGAUCUUCGGACCUCACGCUAUCAGAUGAGCCUAGGUCGGAUUAGCUAGUUGGUGAGGUAAUGGCUCACCAAGGCGACGAUCCGUAACUGGUCUGAGAGGAUGAUCAGUCACACUGGAACUGAGACACGGUCCAGACUCCUACGGGAGGCAGCAGUGGGGAAUAUUGGACAAUGGGCGAAAGCCUGAUCCAGCCAUGCCGCGUGUGUGAAGAAGGUCUUCGGAUUGUAAAGCACUUUAAGUUGGGAGGAAGGGUUGUAACCUAAUACGUUGCAAUUUUGACGUUACCGACAGAAUAAGCACCGGCUAACUCUGUGCCAGCAGCCGCGGUAAUACAGAGGGUGCAAGCGUUAAUCGGAAUUACUGGGCGUAAAGCGCGCGUAGGUGGUUUGUUAAGUUGGAUGUGAAAGCCCCGGGCUCAACCUGGGAACUGCAUCCAAAACUGGCAAGCUAGAGUACGGUAGAGGGUGGUGGAAUUUCCUGUGUAGCGGUGAAAUGCGUAGAUAUAGGAAGGAACACCAGUGGCGAAGGCGACCACCUGGACUGAUACUGACACUGAGGUGCGAAAGCGUGGGGAGCAAACAGGAUUAGAUACCCUGGUAGUCCACGCCGUAAACGAUGUCAACUAGCCGUUGGAAUCCUUGAGAUUUUAGUGGCGCAG
rnacentral:rRNA from 1 species